rnacentral:rRNA from 2 species
GACGAACGCUGGCGGUGUGCUUAACACAUGCAAGUGGUGCGACGAACCAGAGCUUGCUCUGGGGCAAAGCCGCGAACGGGUGAGUAACACGUGGGUAAUCUACCCCGAUGACCGGGACAACCCGAGGAAACUCGGGCUAAUACCGGAUGUGGUACGGAGACAUAAGUCUCUUUACUAAAGGUAGCUUCGGCUUCCGCAUUGGGAGGGGCCCGCGGCCCAUUAGCUAGUUGGUGGGGUCAAGGCCUACCAAGGCAACGAUGGGUAGCUGGUCUGAGAGGACGAUCAGCCACACUGGGACUGAGACACGGCCCAGACUCCUACGGGAGGCAGCAGUGGGGAAUCUUGCGCAAUGCGCGAAAGCGUGACGCAGCAACACCGCGUGAGGGAAGACGGCCUUAGGGUUGUAAACCUCUUUCAGAUGGGACGAAGGUGAUGCGGUGAAUAGCCGAUGUCAUUGACGGUACCGUCAGAAGAAGCUCCGGCUAACUACGUG